CUGGCAGGUUUACACAGAAGUCAUGCCGGGAAACCAUAAUGCUUUUUUAUUCUAACUAACUUGUAAUAUUAGUGGGAAGAGGGUCCACUGAAGAUUUAGUGCUUUUUGAUUUUAGAAAAGCCUUUGAUUCAGUGUCUCAUGAAAUCUGACUGGCAAAAUUAAUUUAAAUUGGCACAGACAGGGACCGUCUCAGGGAUGGGGCUCGGCUGAAAGGCUAUAAACACAGGCGUGAUGAAUGGGAGACGCAGACCAGAGGGGCAAGGGGGCAGGCCCGGGCCUGCUGCUGGGCGAGGUGAGAUCAGCAGAAGCGGAAACCCGAUCACAUCGUCGGUCUCCAUGAAGACAGGAGACACAGGCGCAGAGGAGAAGGCUGCAGGAAGACAGAGGCAGAGGAGGAAGUGAUGCCUCCACAACUGAGGAUUGCCUGGAGCCAGCAGAAGGUGGAAGGGAAGGAAGGAGUCACCCCUUGGGCCUUCAGAGGGAGCACAGCCCUGCCAGGACUUCGAUGUUGGACUUCUGGUCUCCAGGACUGUAAGAGAAUACAUUUCUGUUAUUUUAAGCCACCCAGUCUGUGGCAAUUUGUUACAGAAGUCUCA
rnacentral:lncRNA from 1 species